GACGAACGCUGGCGGCGUGCUUAACACAUGCAAGUCGAACGGAAAGGCCCUGCUUUUGUGGGGUGCUCGAGUGGCGAACGGGUGAGUAACACGUGAGUCACCUGCCCUUGACUUUGGGAUAACUUCAGGAAACUGGGGCUAAUACCGGAUAGGAGCUCCUGCUGCAUGGUGGGGGUUGGAAAGUUUCGGCGGUUGGGGAUGGACUCGCGGCUUAUCAGCUUGUUGGUGGGGUAGUGGCUUACCAAGGCUUUGACGGGUAGCCGGCCUGAGAGGGUGACCGGCCACAUAGGAAUUGAGUAUCGGACCAGACUCGUACGAGCGCCAGCAGUGCGGAAUAUUGCACAAUGGGCGGAAGUCUGAUGCAGCAACGCAGCGAUCUGGAUAACGGCCGUCGGGUUGUAGACCGCUUUCGCCUGUGACGGAGGUUGAGUGACGGUAAUGGGUAAAGAAGCACCGGCUAACUACGUG
rnacentral:rRNA from 1 species